CUAAUUUCAUUUUUGGAUUUAACAUUGCAGCUACACCAAAAAUAGGAGGGAUAGGGAAAAAAUAUUUUUUAAACUUUUGUUUUAUUUUAUUUAUAGCAAGUUCAUAUAUAUCCCCACCCUCGCUAAAUUCAACAAAAAAAUCAGCUAGUGCGGCAAUAUAAACUAGACAGUUAGAAAUAGUCGGAUAAUAUUGUCCAGAAAAAGCAUUUGUAGCCACAUUAAAAUGUUCUAAAAAAUCUAAAAGAAUUUUAACAUUACUCCAAUCUUGGGUAGUUAGCAUUU
rnacentral:lncRNA from 1 species